GUUGAGGUCUAUCCCCAUGGCUUAGACCUAUAGACUCACAUUGUUGAAAAUGCCUCAUAGAGUAACUAUGUGGUUUUGCUUUACUCACAGACCCAUUUGUUACAUCUGUGGGAAAGAACUACAAGACAGAG
ensembl:snoRNA